rnacentral:rRNA from 1 species
GACGAACGCUGGCGGCGUGCUUAACACAUGCAAGUCGAACGAUGAAGCCGGAGCUUGCUCUGGUGAAUUAGUGGCGAACGGGUGAGUAACACGUGAGUAACCUGCCCUUGACUCUGGGAUAACUGCUAGAAAUGGUAGCUAAUACCGGAUACGACCCUCGGCGGCAUCGCCAGGGGGUGGAAAGAAUUUCGGUCAAGGAUGGACUCGCGGCCUAUCAGCUAGUUGGUGAGGUAACGGCUCACCAAGGCGACGACGGGUAGCCGGCCUGAGAGGGGGACCGGCCAGACUGGGACUGAGACACGGCCCAGACUCCUACGGGAGGCAGCAGCGGGGAAUAUUGCACAAUGGGCGCAAGCCUGAUUCAGCAACGCCGCGUGAGGGAUGACGGCCUUCGGGUUGUAAACCUCUUUUAGCACCGACGAAGCGAAAGUGACGGUAGGUGCAGAAGAAGGACCGGCCAACUACGUGCCAGCCGCCGCAGUAA